UUGCUGGGAAUAGAACUCAGGGC
rnacentral:piRNA from 1 species